GAGACAGGAGCGAGAGGUGGAAAAAAAGGAGAAGCUUCUUGAAGGUGGAGUGGGAGGGAGAAGUCGAGUUUGCUACCGGAGUGACAAGCAAAGUGGUAGACGUUAACAAGGAAAGAUGUUGCGAAAAGACAGGGCAGGCUCUGCUGUGGCUUCUUACACACCCAUGCACAGGACUCCCAGACUGCUUCACAUGGAUUGAAACACUCCAGUCUACCCCAUUUAUUAAAAAAUCUGAAGAGAUCUGCUAAACCCACAUUGGAAUCCAGGUGCUGGAUUUAUUUUCAUGCUAGAUCCCCUCAUGGCAGCAUAAAUGCACC